CAACCCUCAAGCCCAAGCUUGAUGUUGGAUGCCACCUAGGAGUCUGGUGCAUCUCAAAGUUAGUGGCGGUGCCUUGCAGCUUCAAGCGUAGUAAUUCCUCGCUUCUGGAGAGUAUUGGUGCUUGCUAGAACCCCCCAAUUAUCAAG
rnacentral:misc_RNA from 1 species